AAGUUAGCAGAAAUGGAGCUACAUCUUUACAUUUGAACGAACAAAAGGAGAAAUGGCAUGGCUUAGUUUUUACCUGCAAAGGGAGGAUUUUUGGACGACCUGUUUUAGAUCUGCUCGUUUGGGUCUCAGUGUUGCGGACCAGAGCACUAUUAUAGAGGAAUCAGACAUGCCUGUGUCGCUCCACCAUGGAUGGGGUCCGAGAGAACAGAGAAGAGAUCCGAGAGA
rnacentral:lncRNA from 1 species